UACGUAGGGGGCUAGCGUUGUCCGGAUUUAUUGGGCGUAAAGAGCGUGUAGGCGGCCAGGUAGGUCUGCUGUGAAAUCCCGAGGCUCAACCUCGGGUCUGCAGUCGAUACGAGCAAACUAGAGUGUUGCAGGGGAGACUGGAAUUCCUGGUGUAGCGGUGAAAUGCGCAGAUAUCAGGAGGAACACCGGUGGCGAAGGCGGGUCUCUGGGCAACAACUGACGCUGAGGAGCGAAAGCGUGGGGAGCAAACAGG
rnacentral:rRNA from 1 species